rnacentral:rRNA from 1 species
AGAGUUUGAUCCUGGCUCAGGACGAACGCUGGCGGCGUGCCUAACGCAUGCAAGUCGAACGGAGUUAUAGGGUUGCUUGCUACCCGAACAACUUAGUGGCGCACGGGUGAGUAACACGUGGGCAAUCUGCCCGGAAGUCUGGGAUAACAGCUCGAAAGGGCUGCUAAUACCGGAUAUCUUCAAGAAGUCGCAUGACUUAAUGAAGAAAGUUUUUUCGCUUCCGGAUGAGCCCGCGUCCCAUUAGCUAGUUGGUGAGGUAACGGCUCACCAAGGCAACGAUGGGUAGCUGGUCUGAGAGGACGAUCAGCCACACUGGAACUGAGACACGGUCCAGACUCCUACGGGAGGCAGCAGUGGGGAAUCUUGCGCAAUGGGCGAAAGCCUGACGCAGCAACGCCGCGUGAAUGAUGAAGGCCUUCGGGUCGUAAAAUUCUGUCAGGGGGGAAGAAGAUCUGACGGUACCCCCGGAGGAAGCCCCGGCUAACUACGUGCCAGCAGCCGCGGUAAUAC